AUUGAACGCUGGCGGCAGGCCUAACACAUGCAAGUCGAACGGUAACAGGAAACAGCUUGCUGUUUCGCUGACGAGUGGCGGACGGGUGAGUAAUGUCUGGGAAACUGCCUGAUGGAGGGGGAUAACUACUGGAAACGGUAGCUAAUACCGCAUAACGUCGCAAGACCAAAGAGGGGGACCUUCGGGCCUCUUGCCAUCGGAUGUGCCCAGAUGGGAUUAGCUAGUAGGUGGGGUAACGGCUCACCUAGGCGACGAUCCCUAGCCGGUCUGAGAGGAUGACCAGCCACACUGGAACUGAGACGCGGUCCAGACUCCUACGGGAGGCAGCAGUGGGGAAUAUUGCACGAUGGGCGCAAGCCUGAUGCAGCCAUGCCGCGUGUAUGAAGAAGGCCUUCGGGUUGUAAAGUACUUUCAGCGGGGAUGAAGGGAGUAAAGUUAAUACCUUUGCUCAUUGACGUUACCCGCAGAAGAAGCACCGGCUAACUCCGUG
rnacentral:rRNA from 1 species